AACGCGAAGAACCUUACCUGGGCUUGACAUAUAGAGGAUCGCUACAGAGAUGUGGUUUCCCUUGUGGCUUCUAUACAGGUGGUGCAAGGUUGUCGUCAGCUCGUGUCGUGAGAUGUUGGGUUAAGUCCCGCAACGAGCGCAACCCUUGUCUUAUGUUGCCAGCACGUUAUGGUGGGGACUCGUGAGAGACUGCCGGGGUCAACUCGGAGGAAGGUGGGGAUGACGUCAAAUCAUCAUGCCCCUUAUGUCCAGGGCUUCACACAUGCUACAAUGGCCGGUACAGAGGGCUGCGAUGCCGUGAGGCGGUGCGAAUCUCUUAAAGCCGGUCUCAGUUCGGAUUGGGGUCUGCAACUCGACCCCAUGAAGUCGGAGUCGCUAGUAAUCGCAGAUCAGCACG
rnacentral:rRNA from 1 species